CUUUGAUGACGACUGGCGCACGGGUGAGUAACGCGUAUCCAACCUUCCCAUAACUACGGGAUAACCCGUUGAAAGACGGCCUAAUACCGUAUGAUAUCGUUUGCUGACAUCAAAUAACGAUUAAAGGUUUAGCGGUUAUGGAUGGGGAUGCGUCUGAUUAGCUUGUUGGCGGGGUAACGGCCCACCAAGGCAACGAUCAGUAGGGGUUCUGAGAGGAAGGUCCCCCACAUUGGAACUGAGACACGGUCCAA
rnacentral:rRNA from 1 species